GUAUAUUUAAUAACACAAGUUUUUUUUUAGUUUUUUUUUAUUUAUAUAUAUUUUUUUAACUUUUAAACGCCGUAGCCUGUGCGGGAUGUUGAUCCAACACUAAUAUCAAAUCCUGAAAUGACACCGAUAUUUCAAACAUAAAUUGAUCAUUUCUUACAGAUCGUAUUGAUAUUUUUUAAUGUUUUGUAGUACAAAAAAGAAAUUUUCGCCAGAACGUGAACGAAUUUUUGUUGCUGCGCAGGAUGUGUCCUGCGCUAAUAGAAAGUCUGGAAAUUACUCUGAUAAUAUGAAUAACUGCCAUAAACCAUUCUAACUUUACAUUGUUUAACAAUUACAGACAGAUAUUGCAAAUCUUGGUUUUAAAAAAUGUGUCAUAAAUUUAUUUCAACAUCAGUAAAUUCAUGGGAGUCGGUCACCAGGUUUCAAUAUCUUCAGUAUGAUACAAUAUGCAAUAAAACUCAAACAUGCGUGAAGGUGUGAUUUCCUCCGGAUAGCCACAUCGUCCUCUCUAUUCUUUUUAUAACUGAAGUAUUUUUACCUCAUUCGAUCACACGCAGUCAUUUUCUACCGGAUAUAGAACAUAAAGGAGACUUACAUAAAAGACUUAUAUUCAGAUUUGCAAAAGCUACAGUUUUAGUCUGUAAUCGUAAAUCAAAGUAAAAGUUAAUAUGAUUUAUAAAAGAUAUUCAAGUUAUCAGAUUAAUUUCCAGAUUUAUUAUUAGCGCAGACACACAUCUUGCGCAGAUAAAAAAUGUAAUAUUUCGUUCUCGUUAUGACAGAAAUGACUCUUUUUCUAUCCAUUUUUUACAGUAUUCAUUUGAAAGUUACAUAAAUAGUACGCUUUAUGAAUGAAAUAUAUUAAAUUUUGAAAUACAGUGUAAUUUCAAACUUUGAUAUUAGCGCAGGACCGACCUCCCACGCAAGUUACAGGUGUAACAUUAUAGUCUGUAAUCGUAAAUCAAAGUAAAAGUUAAUAUGAUUUAUAAAAGAUAUUCAAGUUAUCAGAGUAAUUUCCAGAUUUUCAUUUAGCGCAGGGCAUCGAACACAUAUCUUGGGCAGCUACAAAAUAUAAAAUAUUGUUUACGUUUUGUUGAAAAUUAGGGCUACUCUUUAUUUAAUUGAUUUUGUACUGUAAAAUAAUAAUAAUAAUAAUAAUAAUAAUAAUAAUAACAUAGAUAAGAUCUGUAAGAAUUUUCUUCUGUGACUUUUUUAUUUUAUCUUUUAUCUUAGACAUGUUGAGAGAUAUGCUCCCGUUGGUAAAAAGAAUAUUAUUGUGAAAUUUCAAGAUAUUUCAAUAUAAUAAAAACGAUAUUUUGCUUGUUUGGGUUUUAUUGCAUCUUGUAUAAGAUCGGAGGUAUUGAAACCUGGUGACCGACUGCCGUGAAUUUACUGAUGUAGAAACAAAUUUAUGACACAUAAUUUAAGUACCAAGAUAUUCAGCAUUUGACAUCUAUAUUUAUUAAUAAAUUGACCAAUUGCAUGAUUUAUCAAACACGAAAUGCAAAUUUUUGAUAUAUAAAGUUACAUUUGUUAUUUGCGCUGUGCAUUUGGCAAAUCGCGCAGGUUAAAUUUAUCCUGCGUGCAAAAAUUUGUUAUAUACGCUGCGCGUUUGGUAAAUAGCGCAGAUUGGUUAUUUGCGCUCAACAUACACACUACACAAAAACCUCGCGUUUUGAAUUGGAUGCUUUCAUUAUUUGUACACGGGGUGGCGGGUGAUCAGUCGCUACAUUCUUAAAUGUUGUAGUAUCUAGAUCUACCGACUAUUAAAAUGAAUGGAUUAAUAAAACUUUUUAACAUUUGUAUAAAGCUUACGAAAUGUUUGUUAUUAUAAAUGCCUACAACCGCUGAUUAGAACUUAAAUAAGAAAUGAAGCAUUAACCAAGCUGACACCCCUAAUCUUAGCGUAUUAUGAAAUGGACGUGUCCAUUCAAUUACACAUGACUGUCCACGGCUUCUGAGACUUGGGUUUAUGAUUCGAAGAGUGAAAACGGAUAUCAGUCGACUACAUACACGCGUUUGUUUAUUCCUUUUUGUGUUGGAAAUUAUUGAUGGUCUUUCUGUCACUGUCCGUAAUUUAGCGAUUUGCCAAGCAAGCAGCAGAGGGAGUAGAACAGACCUCUUUUCUCGACUGCAGUGGCUUGGCAUUGGAUGCCCUAAUAAGAAGAUUGACUUGACUUUUUAAUGCGAUUCCGUGUAUCACACAACUUAAAAGACAAUAUGUUUCGUUAUAUAUCUAUGAUCAUAUUUAGGAUACAUGUUAAUGACCAUUGUAAGAUUGUGUGUAACUUACAAGACUUGGGCCACUUGCAUCAAGGUCAAGUUCAGAUAUAGAAUUCAGCUGCAUACAGUCUACCACAUAACUACUAAACCCUAUGAACAUGAUGAAAGGAGCUGUCGGGAUUUCCAUGGUGCAGCUAUCACCAGUUUCAAAAUGGAAACAGAUGGUGAGUCUCAAGCGAAAAAGAAAAGUGGACCUCUCCUAACAACUUAAAAGGAGAACAUUAUCUUGCAUAGCAUUUUUCUCCGAAGGGAUUGAUUCAACCAAACACAUUGUGACAAGUAUCCCACUGAAGGCAAGUUCUACAACAAGGAAACGGACUCCACCAAUAUAUCGACGUUCAAAAAGGGCUUAAAUUUGUUUACCGAUCAAAACUAUGCCAUAAGACAUGAAUCACCCUCCAAUUAAAACAAAACAUAUGGAGAAGUCAGUCACUUUGAAGUUUCAAAUCAAGUAACAAUUUAAGAUAUGAGACCAUUCUAAUGACGACAAUGAAUAUGGAGACAUAAAUGAGCUAUAUAACUCAAACCUAGACUGAAAGAUUUUUAGCUAACCUUAGCACAAAGUGCUCAAAGGUGAGCUUUUGUGAUCGCCCUGUGUCUGUCGUCGUCAACAAUUUGACUUUUAACAUUCUAGAAGUCACAAUUUUGGUCUAAUCUUAAUGAAACUUGGUCAGAAUGUUACCCUCAAUAAAAUCUUGGACGUGUUCGAUAAUGGGUCAUCUAGGGUCAAAAACUAGGUCACCAGGCCAAAUCAAAGGAAAAGCUUGUUAACACUCUAGAGGUCACAAUUUUGGCUCAAUCAUAAUGAAACUUGGUAGAAAUGUUACCCCAAAUAAAAUCUUGGACGAGUUCGAUUUUGUGUAAUCUGGUUUCAAAAACUAGGUCACAAGGUCAAAUAUAAAAGCAAGGAGUGGACGGCUAGAGGGAAGGAAAAAGCCGCCAAAAUAUUGGCAGGGCUCCAGAUAAGAUGCGUAUUAGCGUAAAUUACGCUUUGAAAUAAUGCAUAUACGCAUGUGUGAUCAUUUUUAAGCGUAUAAAAACGUAUAAGAAAUUACAGAAACUCCUGCAAUGACUUUUUACUAGCGUAAACAAACUCUGAAUCAUCUAAAGUCUUUACGUAACAAAGCACGGUCAGCAUUAAUUCUCCCACACGAAACGUACACACGCAUUGAAUGGUACUUUAUACCCAAUGCAUUCGUAAGUCAAAUAGUUGGGAAACAAUAUUGAUGGUACGAUAGUGUAUUCUAAAGCGGUGUCGAUCUGAGAUUGUAAAAAGUGAACAAACACUACGCAUCUUUAAACCAACAAGAACGAUCAUUAAAACAUAUUUAAAGCUAUAUUGAGUAUUCUAUUGGAUUCAGUAGCGGUAUUGUAAGCCAGAGUAAACCAAGGGAGAACAAAAAGCAAAAACUUGAAUGCUGAAUUGAAACUGAACUGCAAACAAAUUCAUGGGUGUUACACCAAAUUAAUAAAUAUGUUAUAAAACCGUUUUCUUUUUUUUACAUUUACAAAUUUUCAGGAGUAAAAUUACUCCUUUUUUACCAUUUUACUCAUUCACAAAAAUUAUAAUGAAUAAAUACUCAUAGGCCAACAAAAUUAUCUGAAGCCCUGUUAAUUGGUCAUUGAAAAGUGCAGUUGAGUCAGGGAAAAGUCAGGAAAUAGUUUGGGAAUUUCAUUUUCUCAACUAAGUGGCAACCCUGAGAAACUGUAUAAUAUAUGUUUGUACUAAGCUUAAUUACUACAAUACUUAUCACAUAAUUGUGUUUUUACUGUGUAAGACUAGAAGAUGCAAUGAAAAGAACAGCAUAUUGCAUUUGUAUAUUAACUUGAAAAUAUUUUAACUGUAUGCAAGUUUCUUGUGUGAAUUUUUUUUUUAUUCAGUUCAUCAUGUUCAUGUCCUGAAAACCUAUAGGUUGUCAUUUCCUUUCGAACAACAUAGGAAGCAAUGGAUUUAAAUAUAAAUUGUGACUUUAGAUUCCGAGAAAUAGUGUUUUCAAACUACGAUGAUCACUCUACUGGUACUUGAAAACAAUUUUUUACGGUUCUAAUAUUUUAUUGGGUUAUUCAAAAAUGUUACGUUAGUAUGAUUGUUUCAGCCAUUUCAUCCAUUAAGUAAACUUUACAUAAAAAGUAUUAGGUGAAGUGCUGUUUGUAGGUAAAAAAAGUGUACUUUAUAUAGCAGGGCCUCAACUGGGCCUCAGUCAGUUAUAGCCACUUUUUGUAGCUCACCAGAGCUGAAGACUCAGGGUGAGCUAUUCUGAUCACUCACCGUCCGGCGUCGGUGUCCGUCCGUAAACUUUUACUUUUAACGACAUCUCCUCAUAAACUGCUAGGCCAAUUUCACAGGAAUGUUCCUUGGGUGAAGCUGUACAAAAAGUGUUCAAAGAAUUGAAUUCCAUGCAGAACCGAAAGGAAAAACAUUAAAAAUCUUCUUCUCAAAAAACAAGAAGCCCUAGAGCUUAGAUAUUUGGUGUGAAGCAUUGCCUAGUAGACCUCUACCAAAUUUGUUCAAAUCAUGACCCCGGGGUCAAAAUUGACCCCGCCCCAGGGGUCACUUGAUUUUACAUAGAAAAAUCUUAAAAAUCUUCUUCUCAAAAACCAGAAGCCCUAGAGCUUAGAUAUUUGACAUGUAGCAUUGCCUAGUGGACCUCUACUUAAGUUGUUCAAAUCAUGACCCCGGGAUCAAAAUUGACCCCGCCCCAGGGGUCAUUUGAUUUUACAUAGAUUUCUAUAGGAAAAUAUUCAUUUUUUUUUUUAAAAUAAACCAGAAGGCCUAGAGCAUAGAUAUUUGACAUGUAGCAUUGCCUAGUGGACCUCUACAAAAUGUGUUCAAAUCAUGACCCCCGGGGUCAAAAUUGAUUUUAUAUAGGAAAAUCUUCAAGAAUUUUUCAAAAAAUAAACCAGAAGGCCUAGAUCUUAGAUAUUUGACAUGAAGCAUUGCCUAGUAGACUUCUACAAAAUUUGUUCAAAUCAUGACCCCCAGAGUCAAAUUGACCCCGCCCUAUGGGGUUACUUGAUUGUACAUAGAAAAAUCUUCAAAAUUUUCUAAAAAUAAACCAGAAGGUCUAGAGCCUAGAUAUUUGACAUGUAGCAUUGCCUAGUGGACCUCUACAAAAUUUGUUCAAAUCAUGACCCCCGGAUCAAAAUUGAACCCGCCCCAGGGCCCCUGCAGGGGUCACUUGAUUUUGUAUAGGAAAAUCUUCAAAAAAAUUCUAAAAAUAAACCAGAAGGCCUAGAUCUUAGAUAUUUGACAUGUAGCAUUGCCUAAUAGACUUCUACAAAAUUUGUUCAAAGCAUGACCCCCGGGGUCCAAUUGAGCCCGCCCCAUGGGGUUACUUGAUUGUACAUAGAAAAAUCUUCAAAAUUUGCUAAAAAUAAACCAGAAGGCCUAGUUCUUAGAUAUUUGAUAUGUAACAUUGCCUAGUAGACUUCUACAAACUUUGUUCAAAUCAUGACCCCUGGGGUAAAAUUGGCCCCGCCCCAGGGGUUAGUUGAUUAUACAUCGGAAAAUCUUCCGAAAAAUUUCUAAAAAUCAUCAGUUUAACAUUUGAAACAUGUAGCUCAUAAUACUCAGGUGAGCGAUCCAGGGUCAUCAUGACACUCUUGUUUAGAGAAACUGCCAAAUUGUAGCUGAAUUGCUGAAAUUUUGCAACCUUUUAAUAAAUUCUUGUAACCACUUCAUGGUGAGCUUUUGUAACUGCUCUAUUUCCUUCAUGGGUUAUCCAUCGGUCAACAAUUUGUAAAAAAUUUACUUCAAAAUCACAGGGCAUAUUUACACCAAACUUAACAGGAAUUAUCCUUAGAUGACCCCCUACCAAAAUUGGUUUAAGAAUUCAUUUUCAUUUUUGGAAUUGUAUAUGUCAUUGUUUGAUAGUACUGUCUACAAAACAGAACAUGUUUUACUGUAACAUUUACAUGAUGGACAUAAAUGGUAUAUAAUUUUUAGCUCAACAAUACGAAGAAUAAGGAGGGCUAUCCUACUCGACCUGGCAUUGGCGUCUUUCCGCGUCCCCACCUUAGUUGAAGUUUUUUUACACUUUCUUUUUUAGCUCACCUGUCACAUAGUGACAAGGUGAGCUUUUGUGAUCACCCUUCGUCCGUCGUACGUCAGUGCGGACGUGCGUCAACAAUUUCUUGUCUGCACGAUAGUGGUUUCAUUUAUGAUUUUAUUUUUAACCAAACUUGCACACAACUUGUAUGAUCAUAAGAUCACGGUUCCUUUCUUGAACUGGCCAGAUCCCAUUAUUGGUUCUAGAGUUAUGGCCCCUGAAAGGGCCAAAAUUAGCUAUUUUGACCUUGUCUGAACAAUAGCAGCUUUAUUUAUGAUUUGAUUUUAACCAAACUGGCACACAACUUGUAUCACCGUAAGAUCUUGGUUCCUUUCAUGAACUGGCGAGAUUCCAUUAUGGGUUCCAGAGUUAUGGCCCCUGAAAGGGCCAGAAUUAGCUAUUUUGACCUUGUCUGCACAAUAGCAGCUUCAUUUAUGAUUUUAUUUUAACCAAACUUGCACACAACUUGUAUCACCAUAAGAUCUUGGUUCCUUUCAUGAACUGGCGAGCUUCCAUCAUGGAUUCUUGAGUGAUGGCCCCUGAAAGGGCCAGAAUUAGCUAUUUUGACCUUGUCUGCACAAUAGCAGCUUCAUUUAUGAUUUGAAUUUAAUCAAACUUGCACAAAACAUGUGUCACCAUAAGAUCUCGGUUCCUUUCUUGAACCGGCCAGAUCCCAUAAUGGGUUCCAGAGUUAUGGCCCCUGAAAGAGCCAAAAUUAGCUAUUUCGACCUUGUCUGCACAAUAGCAGCUUCAUUUAUGAUUUGAUUUUAACCAAACUUGCACACAACUUGUAUCACUACAAGAUCUUCCUUCCUUUCUUCAACUGGCCAGAUUCCACCAUGGGUUCCAGAGUUAUGGCCCCUUAAAGGUCCAAAAUUGGCUAUUUUGGCUUUUGCAGCCAUAUAGAGACUUCAUUUAUGGUUUUAUUUGAUACAAACUUCCAAAAUAUCUUUAACAACAAUAAAUCUUGGAUUCCAUGACAAAUCAGAUCCAAUUGUAGGUUCCAGAGUUAUUUUAUAUCUGAUUACCUCCCCUGAUUGUAAUCAAAAUGGAUUUAUAUCAAUAAGUACUUACUGGACUUAUUUGAAAUUUCAUUAUUGUUAUUAGUUGGACUGGGACAAUCAGGGUAGAUAACUAUGGACUGAUUUUAUGUCAAAUUAUCUCCCUUUAUUUCAAAUUAAAAUGGGUAUAUCUCCAUAACUAAUGAAGAUACUGAUCUGAAAUUUCAUUUAUGUCAACAUAUUUAUUUGGCAGAUCCUUCUUUUGUUCAUUUACAAUAUUUUUUUAAUUACUUCCCUUUUACGUUACUAUAAAUAGCUUAUUUUUAGUAACUAUUUUAUUAUUGGCCGUAGGGAAAAACCGAGACCACUUUUCUGUGGUACAACUUGGAUGGUACCUCCAAUUUUAGAUGUAUUUUGACAUAUCUAUACCUUGUAAGAAUUUUUUUUCUUUUUGGAUAAAUUUCUUCACUUUGUUGUUACUGUCCUUUGGUCUUAGAUAUUUUUUCUGAGGACCUUCUUGUCCUCAAGUGCAGUGAUAACAGGUGAGCGAUAUAGGGCCAUCAUGACCCUCUUGUUUUUCCUUAUCUCUUUAUUUACUUGACGGAUUCGAUUCAUACUAAUUUGUAUGGUUAUUUCUCACCAUCACCCACAUCAUCUGACAUAAGAUCCAUAACUUUGGCACCAAUAUUUUAUGAUUUAUCCCCCCUUUCCACUUAGAUUUUCAGUUUAAAGUUUUGGUGCACUUUCACUCUAUAUCUGUUAUUAAUGAAUGGAUUUGAUUCAAACUUGAACUAAUAUGACACAAGGUACAUAACUCUAAGCACAAAUUUUUCAUGAAUUAUACCCCCUUUUUACUUUGAAUUUCAGGUUAGAGUUUUGAUGCAAUUUCACAUCAUCUCUGUUAUUACAGAAUGGAUUUGAUUCAAACUUGAAUUAUUGUUCAACAUCAUCACCCCCAUCAUAUGACACAAGGUGCAUAACUCUAGCACAAAUUUUUCAUGAAUUAUACCCCCUUUUUACUUUGAAUUUCAGGUUAGAGUUUUGAUGCAAUUUCGCAUCAUCUCUGUUAUUACAGAAUGGAUUUGAUUCAAACUUCAAGUAAUUGUUCAGCAUCAUCACCUAUAUCAUAUGACAUAAGUUGCAUAACUCUGACACAUUUUAUAUCAUGAAUUAUUCCCCUUAUUACUGGAAAGUUCAGGUUAAUGUUUUGUUGCACUUUCAGACUAUCUAAGUUGUCACUAAAUUCAAUUAAUUUAAUUAACUAAAGAUGGGUUUUUACAGGUUUUAAACAAUUCUGUUUGUAUGUAGUGGUUUCAUGUAAUUUUCUAACCUUUUACUUAUUUCAUGUGUAAAUUUCAUAAUAUUGUCACAACAAAAUAUGAUCCCUAUAUAUCAAGUAUUUCUUAAUAUUUUUGACACAGUCUAAAGCUAUUGUACAAUAUCUUCCUCCACACUUGGAAUCAUUAAACAUUCCAAUGACAGCUCCAGUUUUCUCAGAUGUGCCCCGUUUCACUAUCCUGCCCCCCACCCUCCCCCCAAAUUCUUGGCAAAAAUGUUCCUCAUAAUGAGACGAUAUGUACUGCGUAAGAUCCAGACCCUUAGUUACAAUUAGAGGUUAAUGUUAACAUGCUGUGUUUCUUAUCUGGUCCAUUACUCUGCCGUUGUUGAAGGUAUUUUGAAAAUUCUUGGCAUCCCAUAAUGAAAUGAGGUUUCAUGCACAAGACACAUACCCCUAGCUACAAGUUCAAGAUCACACUUAAAAGUCAAAGGUGUUGCUUGUCUGUCAGUUUUCAAGGGAUUUGAAAAUAAUUUGACUCAAACCAUACUUGGCCCAAAUGUUCACCACAUCGAGACGACAUGCAGAGCACAUGUUUCAGAUGGCUCCCUUCAAGGUCAAGGUCACACUUAUGGGUCAGAGGUCAUAUGACUUUGUUUCGUGUCCGCUCUGUAACUCUUGAACUGCUUGAAGGAUUUUAAAGAAAUUUGGCACAAAUGUUCACCACAUUGAGACGAUGUUACAGAGCACAUGUUUCGGAUGGCUUUCUUUAAGGUCAAGGUCACACUUAGGGGUCAAUGGUCAUGUGACUUUGUUUUCUGUGUAUAUUGCCCUGCAUUGCGGUGCUCUUGUUUUUCUUUGGCAAAUCCUUUUUAUACGCCCGUUUGAAAAACGGGACGUAUUAUGGGAACGCCCCUGGUGGGCGGGCGGCGUCCACAGACUUUGUCCGGAGCAUAGAUCUUCUACAUGCAUGGAGGGAUUUUGAUGAAACUUGGCACAGUUGUUCAUCAUCAUGAGACGGAGUGUCAUGCACAAGAACCAGGUCCCCAGGUCUAAGGUCAAGGUCACACUUAGAGGUCAAAGGUUAAAUUCAAGAAUUACUUUGUCCGGAGCAUAUCUUCUUCAUUCAUGGAGGGAUUUUGAUGAAAGUUGGCACAAUUGUUCAUCAUCAUGAGACGGAGUGUCAUGCGCAAGAACCAGGUCCCUAGGUCUAAGGUCAAGGUCACACUUAGAGGUCAAAGGAUACAAGAAUGAAAACUUUGUCCGGAGCAUUUCUUCUUCUUGCAUAGAGGGAUUUUGAUAUAACUUGUCACAAAUGUUCACCACCAUGAGCCGGAGUGUCGUGUACAAGAACCAGGUCCCUAAGUCUAAGGUCAAUGUCACACUUAGAGGUCAAAGGAUACAAGAAUGAAAACCUUGUCCGGAGCAUUUCUUCUUCAUGCAUAGAGGGAUUUUGAUAUAACUUGGCACAAAUAUUCACCACCACGAGACGAAGUGUCAUGCGCAAGAACCAGGUCCCUAGGUCUAAGGUCAAGGUCAUACUUAGAGGUCAAAGGUCAGAUACAAGAAUGACUUUGUCCGAAGCAUUUCUUCUUCAUGCAUGGAGGGAUUUUGAUGUAACUUGGCACAAUUAUGCACCAUCAUGAGAGGAAGUGUCAUGCGCAGUUCCUUUCUUUAGAAUUACUUCCUUUUGUUGUUACUAUAAAUAGCUUAUAUUGUAACUUCUUCAUUACUAGUCGUAGCGAAAAAUCGAGACCACUUUUCUGUAGUACAACAUGCAUGCUCCAUCCAAUUUUGAGGUGUAUUUUGACCAAUCUCUACCUGGUAAAAAUUUGUGUGUGGACAAUUUUUUUUGGAUUUUUUUUUUUUUUUUUUAAGAUUAACUUCCCUUAGUUGUUACUAUAAAUAACUUUUAUUGUAACUUUUUUAUAAUUGACCGUAGGGAAAAAAUAACCACUUUUCUGUGGUACAACAUAGAUGCUACUUUCCAAUUUUAGGCGUAUUUUAAGGAAUCUCUACCUGGUAAGGAGUUUUUAUGUUGAUUUAGGAAAACAAAAGAAUAACAAUAAUCACUACCACAAAAUUAAAAUUGCAUUUGCAAAUACAGGUGCUAGUGUAAAGAAAUUUGCUGUGACGGGCGUAUAUUGUGACAUUCUGGCACUCUUAUUUAUUUAUGUUAGACUUUUGUGUUAUAUUUAUUAUGUUCAUAAGUAUUUGUUUUGAUAUUUUUUUUAAAUAAAUAGAUUAAAAUAUGUGUUGAAAUUUUCAGUAAUAUUUGUAUUUUUAUGCCCCCCUUCAAAGAAGGAGGGGUAUAUUGUUUUGCAGAUGUCGGUCGGUAGG